GGUUAAGACACCGCCCUUUCACGGCGGGUUCACGAGUUCGAAUCUCGUCCGGGUCACCA
rnacentral:tRNA from 1 species